UACGGAAGGGGCAAGCGUUGUUCGGAAUCAUUGGGCGUAAAGGGCGCGUAGGUGGUUCUGUAUGUCUACCGUGAAAGCGUACGGCUCAACCCGUAUUUUGUCGGUGGAAACUGCAGGACUUGAGGCUGGGAGGGGCUGGUGGAAUUCCCGUGUGUAGCGGUGAAAUGCGCAGAUAUCAGGAAGAACACCGAUGGCGAAGGCAG
rnacentral:rRNA from 1 species